GACGAACGCUGGCGGCGUGCUUAACACAUGCAAGUCGAACGGAAAGGCCCUGCUUUUGUUGGGUGCUCGAGUGGCGAACGGGUGAGUAACACGUGAGUAACCUGCCCUGUACUUGGGGAUAACUUCAGGAAACUGGGGCUAAUACCGGAUAGGAGCUCCUGCUGCAUGGUGUGUGUUGGAAAGUUUCGGCGGUUGGGGUUGGACUUGCGGCUUAUUAGCUUGUUGGUGGGGUAGUGGCAUACCAAGGCUUUGACGGGUAGCCGGCCUGGGAGGGUGACCGGCCACAUUGGGACUGAGAUACGGCCCAGACUCCUACGGGAGGAAGCAGUGGGGAAUAUUGCACAAUGGGCGGAAGCAUGAUGCAGCAACGCCGCGUGCGGGAUGACGGUCUUCGGGUUGUAAACCGCUUUCGCCUGGGACGAAGCGUGAGUGACGGUAAUGGGUAAAGAAGCACCGGCUAACUACGUG
rnacentral:rRNA from 1 species